ACUUCCGCUGGCGUCAGGCGGGUGGGCUGCUGCGAUCACUUCCCGGUUGGGGCGCCGAGCUCCGGAGUCGGCCGCCAGCCUUUGGGCCCCACGCUCCGGGUCUGGUGCGCGGUCUGGCCGCGCUCGGGCCCUCGCCAAAUGAGAGCGCAGCGCCUCUCCGCCUUCGGAUCCAGAGAAAGAGCUUGUUGCUGCCUCUAAAAGGUUGGAGCCUUAGUAAGCGGUUCCUGCCUUUCCUGCACAGACCAGACCGCCGGGUGCUGGUCUGCGCUCUGCCGCGCGCCGACUGGGACAGCCCACCCACGAGAUCCUUGUUCCUGAAAUCCCUUUCCUUCCCUCAUCUGCCAAGAAAACUUUCAACUUUUGGGCUCUCCGCGCCUCCCAAGCUUCCUCGAAUCCCUGGGCCCUUGACUGUUCUGCCCUGAUGGCACUUGGGAAAUUGACUCGACUCGGAACUCGAGGACCUUUCACAAGAGACCACUGGGUUAGGGGGCAGAGCUGGUAAUAGAAUCCAGCGCUCCGAACCCUGAAUCAUGUCCUCUUUUUGCUGCUGAGGCUCAGGCCACAGCACCCCAAAUUAUGACUGUAGAAUACCAAAAUAUGCUAUCCCAAAAUACACUUGUUUGGCACAUUUCAAGCUGGUUAUUCUGAGAAACUGCAGACACGGGAGUAGCUCUGAAAAGCUGUCCUUUUGUAAAGCAAAUUUACAUCUAUAAAGGAAGUCCACAUAGUAAAAGUAUCUGUGUCAGGAAGGCAGCUGCUCAGAGAACUUUUAUUACAUGAGAGACUUUACAUAACAAGGCAACUUUUUUUUUUUUUUUUUUUUUUUUUUUUGAGGCAGAGUCUCGCUCAGUCGCCCAGGCUGGAGUGCAUUGGCAUGAUCCCGGCUCACUGCAACCUCCGCCCCCCGGGUUCAAGCGAUUCUCCGGCCUCAGCCUCUGAAGUAGCCGGGAUUACAGGCGCGCGCCACCGCGCCCGGGUAAUUUUUGUAUUUUUAGUAGAGACGGGGUUUCACCAUGUUGGUCAGGCUGGUCUCGAACUCCUGACCUCGUGAUCCGCCCACCUCGGCCUCCCAAAGUGCUGGGAUUACAGGUGUGAGCCACCGCGCGCAGCCACAAGGCAACAUUAUUUACCAUACAUUUCCUCCACUAACCCUCCUAUAUCCUACCUGUGGUGCCUCCCCACUGUCCCCACAGAAGCCCCAAGCCCUUAUUUAUUUCUAGCUCAGAAUGCUAUAAGCUUCAAUCAUCUGGCCCUUCAUGUUUUGUGAGAUUCCUGUGCUGCUGCGUAUGCAGGUAAUUAAAACGGUUUUUCUUCUGUUAAUCUGUCUUAUGUCGGCCAGGCGUGGUGGCUCAUGCCUGUAAUCCCAGCACUUUGGGAGGCCGAGGUGGGCGGAUCACGAGGUCAGGAGUUUGAGACCAGCCUGACCAACAUGGUGCAACCCCAUCUCUACUAAAAAUACAAAAGAAGUAGCCGGGCGAGGUGGUGCGCACCUGUAAUCCCAGUUACUCAGAAGCUGAGGCAGGAGAAUCGCUUGAACCCAGGAGGCGGAAGUUGCAGUUAGCCGAGAUUGUGCCACAGCACUCCAGCCUGGGCGACAGAGCAAGAUACCGUCUCAAAAAAAAAAAAAAAAAUCUCUGUUAUGUCAAUUUAAUUUGCAAUCCAAGUAAAGAACCUAGAAGGGUAGAGGGAAGCCAUUUUUCCCUCCCCUACAUUGCUAGUUCCAUGCCAAUGUGAGAGGACUCUGAGAAUGUGGAUGUCUGCCACCUGGAGAAAGAGUCUUAAUAACCUGGGCACUUGGCCAGGCACGGUGGCUCACACCUGUCAUCCCAGCAUUUUCAGAGGCAAAGGUGGGUGGAUCACCUGUGGUUAGGAGUUCAAGACCAGCCUGGCCAACAUGGCGAAACCCUGUCUCUACUAAAAAUACAAAAAUUAGCCAGGCAGGGUGGUGGGCACCUGUAAUUUCAGCUACUCAGGAGGCUGAGGCAGGAGAAUCACUUGAACCCAGGAGGCGGAGGUUGCAGUUAGCCUAGAUGGUGCCAUUGCACCCCAGCCUGGGCAACAAGAGCAAAAUUCUAUCUCAAUAGAUAAAUAAAUAAAUAACCUGGGGACUUGUAGCCUCUAUUGAAAGGUACCAGAAAAGGAUAAAGCCUGAGUUUUCAAGCCAGGAAGUUGCAAAUUCUAACUCUACCAAGAAGUAGCUGGGUGACCUCCAAGCCUCAGUUUCCUCAUCUUCAAAACCAGGUUAAUAGUGUCAGAGGCAUUUGAACCAGAGAGACUCCAUCUUGAAUAGGGACUGGGUAAAAUAAGGCUGUGACCUGCUGGGCUGUAUUCCCAGGAAGUUAAGGCAUUCUUCGAGGAUGAGAUGGUGGGGGUCAGCACAAGAUACAGGUCACAAAGACCUUGCUGGUAAAAUAGGAUGUAGUAAAGGAGCCGGCCAAAACCCAUCAAAAUCAAGAUGGCGACCAAAGUGAGCUCUGGUCGUGCCCACUGCUCAUUAUACACUAAUUAUAAUUCAUUAGCAUGCUAAAAGACACUCCCACCAGCACCAGGACAGUUUACAAACAUCAGGAAGUUACCCUAUAUGGUCUAAAGGAGGAGGAACCCUCAGUUCUGGGAAUUGCCCAUCCCUUUCGCGGAAAACUCAUGAAUAAUCCACCCCUUGUUUAGCAUAUAAUCAAGAAAUAACUAUAAUUAGUUGAGCAGCCCAUGCUGCAGCUCUGCCUAUGGAGUAGCCAUUCUUUACCUCCUUUACUUCUCUAAUAAAUUUGAUUUCACUUUAUGGACUUGCCCCAAAUUCUUUCUUGCGUGAGGUUCAAGAACCCUCUCUUGUGGACUGGAUGAGGACCCCACUCUGGUAACAAUAUACUUUUUGUCCAGUCACAUUUCUACAUGGCUGUCCAUACUCUGUUGAAUGUAAGCAUAAGAAUGGACAAUUUUGCUGUAUCUUUGGAUCUUCAUUCUGAAGGCUCCCAUGGCAUGUAAAACUAUGAUCAAAUAAAUUUGUAUGCCUUUUUUCCUUUUAAUCUGCCUUGUCGGUUGAUUUUCAGUGAAACUUCAGAGGGUAAAGGGGAAGUUUGCCCUUCACCCCUACAUGGUCAAGCUCAAGAUACCAAAAGACAUCAGCUGAAAAUUCAAUCAACUUGCCUGAAUCAUCCACCCCAAGCUUAGGAAGCAUGCUUGAACCCACCUGGCCAAGGCUGGUUUUGCCGGCCAAAGUCCAAGGCCAAGGCUCCAACCAAAGCCCAGACUUCAGUUGCAGCUCCAGUUCCAGUUCCAGUUCCAGCUCCAGUUCCAGUUCCAGUUCCAGCUCCAGAUCAAAUUUCCAAGGGUGCCCAUGCACACCCACAAAGGAUCUGGAGGAGAGGCCUCUGUCUACCAAUGGGAGGACAGAAGGACUGGUGUGAGCCCUGGGCUGCCAUCUGUUUCUGCAUGGAGCUGGUACCAUUCUUUUCUAUUUAUACAAACAAACAUGAGGCAGGAUCUGUCCAUUAAAAAAAAGAGGCCGGGCACAGUGGCUCAUGCCUAUAAUCCCAGCAUUUUAGGAGGCCGAGGUGGGUAAAUCACCUGAGGUUGGGAGUUCGAGACCAGCCUGGCCAAUAUGGUGAAACCUCUUCUCUACUAAAAAUACAAAAAUUAGCCGAGCGUCGCGGCACAUCUUUAAUCCCAGCUCCUCAGGAGGCUGAGGCACAAGAAUCACUUGAACCCAGGAGGUGGAGGUUGCAGUAAGCCGAGAAAACACCACUACACUCCAGCCUAGGCGACAGAAUGAGGCUCCAUCUUGAAAAGAAAAAGAAAAUUAAAAAGAAACAGUCUAUACAGGCUCAUUCCCUUUCCCCACUCAGAGUUUUUUCAAAGGAAUGUGGCCAGAUCUGGAGGUUUACCUGCCUUCUGGCUCUGAGGACUUUGCAGUUACUAUUUAAGGUCUGGUUAAUAGCUUCCUUUGCAUCGUGGUUGGUUAACAAGAGUAGGCUGGGCAGAGUGGCUCACGCCUGUAAUCCCAGCACUUUGGGAGGCCGAGGCGGGCGGAUCACGAGGUCAGGAGAUCGAGACCAUCCUGGCUAACAUGGUGAAACCCCAUCUCUACUAAAAAUAUAAAAAAUUAGCCGGGCCUGGUGGCGGGU
rnacentral:lncRNA from 10 species